GGGUCAGUAGGUUGGUCGUGCCACCGGUACGUACUGGUCUCACUGAUUCCUCCUUCCUGAAGAACCGUAAUGCCAUUAAUUUGGUGUUGCGGGGAAACAGGACUGUUACUUUGAAAAAAUUAGAGUGUUUAAAGCAAGCUAACGCUUGAAUACACUAGCAUGGAAUAAUGAAAUAGGACGAUCGAUCCUAUUUUGUUGGUUUCUAGGAUUGACGUA
rnacentral:rRNA from 1 species